rnacentral:lncRNA from 1 species
GUUUUUUUGUGUCUUCUUCCUUUUUUCUGAAUUCUUCUUUUUUUUAAACUAAAAUUGUAUUGUAAAUCAAAUUGUGGAAACUAAAUAAUCCUAAAUUUUUUACAGAAUAGUAACUUCUAGAUUCUCCUAUAAUCAACCGAGUUACAUGCCACUAGUAUACACAAUGAUCAAAUGAAGGCUUGAAAGAACGGGGAUACGGUAUAAUGUGGGGACGGAAAAGGCUGUUUGGCUAUAAAUUUUGUAAUCCUACGAGGAAAUAGGGACGUGAUGGAUGUUUUUUGUGGAGCUUUUCUA